GACCAUAUCACAUUGAAACACUAAUUCUUGUAUGAUCACUGAAGUUAAACAACAUUGAGUCUGGUCAGUACCUAAAUGGGUAAUCACUUGGGAAUACCAGGUGCUGUAAG